UACAGAGGUCCCAAGCGUUGUUCGGAUUCACUGGGCGUAAAGGGUGCGUAGGCGGUCGGGUAAGUCUGAUGUGAAAUCUCACAGCUUAACUGUGAAACUGGCAUUGGAUACUAUCCGGCUCGAGGAAUGGAGGGGAGACUGGAAUACUUGGUGUAGCAGUGGAAAUGCGUAGAUAUCAAAGUGGAACACCAGGUGGCGAAGGCGAGUCUCUGGACAUUUCCUGACGCUGAGGCACGAAAGCCAGGGAGCAAACGGG
rnacentral:rRNA from 1 species